rnacentral:hammerhead_ribozyme from 1 species
CACCGGCUGACGAGUCCUAAAUAGGACGAAACGCUUGUCGUGGUU